rnacentral:lncRNA from 1 species
AGUUCUUCAAUCAUCACCCCGAACGGGAAGUGCUCGAAGGAGGGCAGAGGUCAGCCUGGGAGGAGGGAGGGAGGCCGGCCCCGCCCCAUCGCUCCGGCCCCCAUUCACAGGCGGGGCCAGAAGUGUUGAGGGCAGAACCCUGCAGCGAGAGGGCGAGCGCCUCCGUCCCCUGGGUCGGGGUUCAUCCCUCCGCCCAGUUUACGGAAGUCGGCGAGGCGCCCUGGGCCAGAUCCGCGCAGGUCCUGGGGGGCCAGAGCCUGGGGAACACCACGUCCCUUCUGCUGCGUGUGCAGAGUGAGCGGCGGGCGGCGGGGCUCCAAGGAAGGGCGGUCCCGGGGGCGGCUGUCUCGGAGUGCGGCUGAGGGGCCAGCCCCUCAGAGGGGGCGCCUCUGCCCUGAGCAGCGUCCAGGCCCCUGGUUCUAGGAGCCAAGACAAGCGCUAGGGUGGAGGCGCGCAGAGCACGGAGGAGGGGACCAGCCAGAGAGGUAAUCCCCGAGCCGGGAAGGGCACGAGGACUCACGCCAGACCGCGACCUGGACAACCCGGCCUCGGGAACCAGCCCCGCGCAGGGCGGGACUUCAGGUGGGGAACUCCUGCACUUUGGCCAGUGUUUAAUGCCCGUGGAAGCCUGGCACAGAGAGAUUCACACCCUUCACCCACCAUGGUCCCGGAGAGCCUGAUGGCAAUGCCUGACCUCAGGAACAGGAGACCAACAAAAUACACUUUCUUGGCUUGGUGCUGUGGCUCAUGCCUGUAAUCCCAACACUUUGGGAGUCCAAGGUGGGUGGAUCACAUGAGGUCAGGAGUUGGAGACCAGCCUGAGCAACGUGGUGAAACCCCAUCUCUACUAAAAAUAGAAAAAUUAGCCAGACAUGGUGGUAUGCGCCUACUCAGGAGGCUGAGGCAGGAGAAUCGCUUGAACUUGGGAAGCAGAGGUUGCAGUGAGCCAAGAUCACAACACUGCACUCCAGCCUGGGUGACAGAGCAAGAA